rnacentral:rRNA from 1 species
ACGCGUGGAACCUUACCAGGUCUUGACAUCCUCUGACACUCCUAGAGAUAGGACGUUCCCCUUCGGGGGACAGAGUGACAGGUGGUGCAUGGUUGUCGUCAGCUCGUGUCGUGAGAUGUUGGGUUAAGUCCCGCAACGAGCGCAACCCUUGAUCUUAGUUGCCAGCAUUUAGUUGGGCACUCUAAGGUGACUGCCGGUGACAAACCGGAGGAAGGUGGGGAUGACGUCAAAUCAUCAUGCCCCUUAUGACCUGGGCUACACACGUGCUACAAUGGAUGGUACAAAGGGCAGCAAAGCGGUGACGCCUAGCAAAUCCCAUAAAACCAUUCUCAGUUCGGAUUGUAGGCUGCAACUCGCCUACAUGAAGCUGGAAUCGCUAGUAAUCGCGGAUCAGCAUGCCGCGGUGAAUACGUUCCCGGGCCUGUACACACCGCCCGU